rnacentral:lncRNA from 1 species
GAUAACGUCCCUACCUUUCAUUUUUUGGUGGAUUACACCCUUACCUUUACAUUUUUUUGCGCAAAACGUCCUUCUGUCAACUUUCCGUUAAAAUGCUCCGUUAAAUCAAAAAGGUAAUUAGCACAAAAGGUCCCUACCUUUCAAAGUUAUUGUGCAAAACGUCCCUACCUUUUAUUUUUUAGCAUAAUUAGCAGAAAAUGUCCCUACCUUUCAAUAUUAUUGUG